UACGGGGGGAGCAAGCGUUGUUCGGAUUUACUGGGCGUAAAGGGCGCGUAGGCGGCGCAACAAGUCACUUGUGAAAUCUCCGGGCUUAACCCGGAGCGGCCAAGUGAUACUGUCGUGCUAGAGUGCGGAAGGGGCUACUGGAAUUCUCGGUGUAGCGGUGAAAUGCGCAGAUAUCAGGAGGAACACCGGUGGCGAAGGCGGGUCUCUGGGCCGAUACUGACGCUGAGGAGCGAAAGCGUGGGGAGCGAACAGG
rnacentral:rRNA from 1 species